AUCGAACGCUGGCGGCAGGCCUAACACAUGCAAGUCGAGCGGAGCGGCGGACGGGUGAGUAAUGCCUAGGAAUCUGCCCGGUAGUGGGGGAUACCGUCCGGAAACGGGCCCUAAUACCGCAUACUAUCAGAUGAGCCUAGGUCGAAUCAGCUAGUUGGUGGGGGAAUGGCUUACCAAGGCGACGAUGCGUAACUGGACUGAGAGGAUGAUCAGUCACACUGGGACUGAGACACGGUCCAGACUCCUACGGGAGGCAGCAGUAGGGAAUAUUGGACAAUGGGCGAAAGCCUGAUCCAGCCAUGCCGCGUGUGUGAAGAAGGUCUUCGGAUUGUAAAACUCUGUAAGUUGGGAAGCGUUACCAACAGAUUAAGCACCGGCUAACUACGUGCCAGCAGCCGCGGUAAUAC
rnacentral:rRNA from 1 species